GUCACCCAUGUUUAAAUAACAUGUAGAUGAGGCCCUUAGUGAUGUAGUUUAGUGGUGGUCUUGGCAGUCUUGGGGUGGUGGUUGGACCUUAUGGUCUUAAAGGUCUCCUCCAGCCUAGUUCAUUC